CUACGGGUGGCACCAGUGGGGAAUAUUGCACAAUGGGGGGAACCCUGAUGCAGCAACGCCGCGUGGAGGGUGACGCAUUUCGGUGUGUAAACUCCUUUUAUAUGUCAAGAAAAUGACGGUAGCAUAUGAAUAAGCACCGGCUAACUCCGUGCCAGCAGCCGCGGUAAUACGGAGGGUGCAAGCGUUACUCGGAAUCACUGGGCGUAAAGGACGCGUAGGCGGGUUGGAAAGUCAGGUGUGAAAUCCUACAGCUUAACUGUAGAACUGCACUUGAAACUUCUAAUCUAGAGUAUGGGAGGGGGAGAUGGAAUUCGUGGUGUAGGGGUAAAAUCCGUAGAUAUCACUAGGAAUACCUAAAGCGAAGGCGAUCUCCUGGAACAUUACUGACGCUAAGGCGUGAAAGCGUGGGGAGCAAACAGGAUUAGAUACCCCGGUAGUC
rnacentral:rRNA from 1 species